rnacentral:snRNA from 1 species
GGAAUUAGGCGUUUCUUCCAAU